AACGAACGCUGGCGGCAGGCUUAACACAUGCAAGUCGAACGCCCCGCCAGGGGAGUGGCAGACGGGUGAGUACCGCGUGGGAACAUACCCUUUUCUACGGAAUAGCUCUGGGAAACUGGAAUUAAUACCGUAUACGCCCUACGGGGGAAAGAUUUAUCGGGGAAGGAUUGGCCCGCGUUGGAUUAGCUAGUUGGUGGGGUAAAGGCCUACCAAGGCGACGAUCCAUAGCUGGUCUGAGAGGAUGAUCAGCCACAUUGGGACUGAGACACGGCCCAAACUCCUACGGGAGGCAGCAGUGGGGAAUAUUGGACAAUGGGCGCAAGCCUGACCCAGCCAUGCCGCGUGAGUGAUGAAGGCCUUAGGGUUGUAAAGCUCUUUCACCGAUGAAGAUAAUGACGGUAGUCGGAGAAGAAGCCCCGGCUAACUUCGUG
rnacentral:rRNA from 1 species